GUGUAAUAUCAAUAAUUUGAGGUUAUCAAGCCGGUCAAAUAUUUUUAAUAAAAAAUGCUGGUAUGUGGUCUGAGGCAAUACGUAUUUGGAGAGAGUACUUACCAAGUCAAGAAGCAGCUUUACGUCGUGAGUUAACACAAAAAAGCAUUGGAAAUGAUAGCACACAAACUCUGAAAGAAGCUGGAUGUUGGUUAAAAAUACCGCUUCACAAGUUGCUACAGAAUUAAGAUGGUAUAAGCAUUAUAGCUUACAAGAUCAAUACGUCAGGCAAAGAAGAAGGUUUUGGUCAGUCUAUUUUACACUACGGUCAAUUAGUAUUUCAUGCUUCUCCAUAUAGUCUUCAGGAUGUAUUUAGCUGUAUGGUAACAGCUAAAUUUAUACAUGUACUUCAAAAAGAUGUAUUUCGAGCUCUUUGUAAAUUAUCUAUGAAACCUCUAACAGAUGGAACAUCUGAUCCCAAAUCACAUGAAUUAAGAUCUAAAAUAUUAUCGUUACAAUUACUAUUAGGCAUUUUACAAAAUGCUGGACCAAUCUUACGAUCAAUUAAAAUGUUUGUUAUUACAAUUAAACAAUACUUGUGUGUUGCAUUAUCUAAAAAUGGUGUAUUAUCCGUUCCAAAAGUAUUUGAAUUAUCUUUGACAGUGUUUUUUACGUUAUUAACAAAAUGUAAAAUACAUUUAAAGAGGCAAAUAGAAGUAUUUUUUGAAGAAAUAUUUAUGAAUAUAUUAGAAACAUCAACUAGUUCAUUUGAACAUAAGCGUAUUCGUGGGGAUGCUCAAAGUGGUGUAGAUAUAUACGUAAAUUAUAAUCAUGACUUUUUGGCUGCUAAUUUAUUGAGCGACUUGUUAAUAAUUAACCUCGGCUACUAGGUCCUCCAUGCAAGCUAAAUUUUCCAUUACCACUGAAUAAUUUUACAAAUCUCACAUAUAAUUUGAUCGAGUGGGAUGCAGUCCAAGCCAAAAUAUUGCAUUUUUGCAGUUGAUUCUCUUCGACAGCUUGCAACUAAAUUGAUUGAAAAAGGAGAAUUUGUAAAUUUUAGGUUUCAAAAAGAAUUUUAUAAACCGUUUGAAUAUAUUAUAAAGAAGAAUAGAUCUCCAGUAAUACGUGAUAUGGUUAUGAGAUGUGUAGUUCAAAUAAUACAUUCUCAAGCACCUAAGAUCCGUUCGGGAUGAAAGAAUAUUUUCAGUGUUUUUCAUCAUGCAGCUAGUGAUCAGCUUUGAAUCAACUAUUGAUGAUCGAUCAUGGGUAAGAGGUUGGUUUCCAUUAUUAUUCAAACUUUCUUGUGAUGUUAGUAGAUAUAAGCUUGACGUGAGAACUCGUGCGCUUACGAUAUUAUUCGAUAUUGUAAAAACAUAUGGUGCUUCGUUUAAACCUCGUUGGUGGAAAGAUUUGUUUCAAGUACUUUUUAGAAUUUUUGAUAAUAUUUUUAAAAGUACUUUACCAUCAAUUUUACUCACUUGGAAACCAUCCAUAAUAAAUAAAAAAUCAGAUCUUGAAACGAUAACAAGAGAAAGUGUAGAUCCACCGCUUGAUCCAUCAUUACCAAGAUAUAGAAGUGCUGGAAGUCUUUUAUGUUUAAUAGAAAGCCUAGUAAGAGGAUACAAUAUCUUCAAGAACAAGGUUUUUUUGGGAGUUCUCCUGAUGACGUUGCACGUUUCCUUCACAAUGAUGAACGAUUAGAUAAAACAGCGAUUGGAGAUUUCUUAGGAUAUCACAAUCAUAAUCAAGUUAUGUAUAAUAAUUAAUGUAGUUAACUACAUUGUUCAAAUGGAUUUUGCUAAUAGAGAUUUAGUUACAGUAUUUAAUACAAAAUUACUUAUUGAAACAAAUCGAUAAAUUAG
rnacentral:lncRNA from 1 species